rnacentral:rRNA from 1 species
UACGUAGGUGGCGAGCGUUGUCCGGAUUUACUGGACGUAAAGGGAGCGUAGGCGGACUUUUAAGUGAGAUGUGAAAUACUCGGGCUCAACUUGAGUGCUGCAUUUCAAACUGGAAGUCUAGAGUGCAGGAGAGGAGAAUGGAAUUCCUAGUGUAGCGGUGAAAUGCGUAGAGAUUAGGAAGAACACCAGUGGCGAAGGCGAUUCUCUGGACUGUAACUGACGCUGAGGCUCGAAAGCGUGGGGAGCAAACAGG